rnacentral:rRNA from 1 species
GAUGAACGCUGGCGGCGUGCUUAACACAUGCAAGUCGAACGGAAAGGCCGAAGCUUGCUUCGGUACUCGAGUGGCGAACGGGUGAGUAACACGUGGGUGAUCUGCCCUGUACUUCGGGAUAAGCUUGGGAAACUGGGUCUAAUACCGGAUAUGACGAUCCCUUGGAUGGGGUUGUGGAAAGCUUUUGCGGUAUGGGAUGAGCUCGCGGCCUAUCAGCUUGUUGGUGGGGUAAUGGCCUACCAAGGCGUCGACGGGUAGCCGGCCUGAGAGGGUGUACGGCCACAUUGGGACUGAGAUACGGCCCAGACUCCUACGGGAGGCAGUAGUGGGGAAUAUUGCACAAUGGGCGCAAGCCUGAUGCAGCGACGCCGCGUGGGGGAUGACGGCCUUCGGGUUGUAAACUCCUUUCGCAAUCGACGAAGCCUUUUGGUGACGGUAGGUUGAGAAGAAGCACCGGCUAACUACGUG